CGACCUGGGCGCCCACGUCUCGGGCGCCGCCGCUGACGACGACGGCGAGGCGGCGCUGUUCGCCGCGGCGCAGGCCGGC
rnacentral:tRNA from 1 species